CCAAAGGCUCUUUUCAGAGCCACUACGUUGUCACUAAUCGAGCUGG
rfam:Canis lupus familiaris chromosome 35, whole genome shotgun sequence.